AUUUCAAUUGCACAGAGUGUCCUGGAAGACUUGCCCAAGCAUCUCUGUUACCUUGGCAUAAAGCUGAGACUUGGGCUUGGAGCUCAUCAUGUAAUAAGAUGCGGGGCAUUGAAGUUCAGAAGAUAAAUUGCCUAAGAAGCUGUAAUGAGUAUUAGGGGUGGAAUGUGAACCCCAAAGAGUCAGAUUCCACAGGGCACCAAAACUAUCUGGGUACCAUCAUCUCAGGGUAUCUUCUAGAAAAACAGACAUAGGACAUAGGUUAGACAGGUCCUGUUGUCGAUCAGGAGUAAGAAGGAUCUCUGGAGGUGGAGCUCAGCAGCUAGUGCUCUGAUGCCUGUGGGUCACCAUUCUUUAUGUAGGCAGCCUUUCUAAUAGCUUUAGCCAAUGAUGCUAAUUAACUGCUCAUAAAUUUAUUACUCCUAAUGGGAACUCCUGACAAGGAGAUUGCCAUGUGCUGUGUGUUGCACCAAGAAGUUCAUGUAUAUUAAGCAAGUGGAUUUCCACUACUCUCCUAUGCAUCUAGCCAUGUGCAUAUCAUGAUAUCUGCCUGGCAGAAGAGGAGACAGAAGAACUAAAGAAACUCUUUACCUCCACAGCAUGUUAUACAAGCUAACUUUCGGAUCAACCUUGCUUUUUCUUUUUUUCCAAAUGCCCAUUCAGUUGACCAGCCCAACAGACUCACUUCAGUGAUGAAUUUCCAAACAGACUCUCUUGCUGAACUGGAGGCUCACCAAAUUUGGCUAGAGUUGCUAUCCAGCAAGCCCCAGGACCCUCCUGCCUCUGCCCCCACAGCUCUGGAUUUCCAGGAAUGCACUGUCACAUCCAGCUCUUCACUUAUGGGUUUCUGGAUGAUGGACCCCAGGUAUGCUGUGCAGCAAGCACAUCCAUCACCACUGAGCCACCUCCGCCACCUGCUUCUCUUCAACUCUACUUUGGCUGCCUACUCCUUCCUUCCCUUCUCACAGGCUCUCACCAUCACAACUAGCACAAGUAUCUUCUAUGUCUUUGUGGGUUCUUUUUCUUUGGAUACACAGUUUUGCUAAGUUGGCCAGGCUGGCCUAAACUUACAAUCCUCCUGCCUCAGCUUCUCAAGUAGGUGUAACCUCUCCUUUUUUCAAAUUUUAUGAGUGUGAGCAUUUUGCCUGCUUGUAUGUCUGUAUGCUACAUGAAUACCUAAUCCCCAAGGUAGCCAGAAGAGGGUGUUGGAUACCUUGGAAAUGGAGUUACAGAUGGUUGGAAGUCCCAUGUGGGUGCUUGGAAUAGAAUUCAAGUAUUCUAGGGGAGCAGCCAGUGCCACCUCCCCCCACCCCCCCAGUGCCAUGCCUGAGUAACAUUUUAAUAUAUAAAUUACACACAUAUAUAAUUACAUAUACUAUAUUAAAAAUAUAUAUAUAAUAUAAAUAUGUAAAUUGUAUGAUGCCAGGGAGCAGGGUCAGUCAGUGAAGCAUUUCCUGCACAUGGAGACCUGAGCUUGGAUCCUCAGCAUACAUGUAGAAUGCUAGGUAUGGCAGCAAGUGCCUGAACUCUCAGUGCACAAGAGGGUCCUGCAUUCUGCAGACAUAAAACAUUUACUUUGAACCUGUGAGAUAAAGAGAGCAAACUACAGGCAUACCUUCAGUAGGAGGUCUGGUGACAUUUUCAGUUUGUCUUUGGCUAACAGACUCCUUGGUAGAUUUUAUUAGAUCUUCAAUUUCGUUUUGGCUAGCAGACUUCUUGGUAUAUUUCUUAAACUUUUCAGUGAAGUUUUGGAUAGCAGAUUCCUUGGUAUCUUUGGUUUCAAUUUCAGUUUGACUUUGAUAAACAGACUCCUUGGGAGAUAUUGUUACAUUUUCAUAUUGGUUUUGGGAAGAAGAGGUCUGGAGAGAUUUGUUUACGUAUUCCGUUUCUUUUUCCCUAGGAGACUCUUGGAUAUUCUCAGCAACCUCCUGGUUUAGAAGGGGAUAUGUAUUUGAGGCUUCUUUUUCUGUAUCUACGGUCAGUGUAGAAUCUAAAAAUCCCAAACCAAACAAUAAAAGUCACAUUAUGGUCAAUGACACAGAGACAACUGAUGCUUAUACAAACAACACUGAACAAUGGCUUUCUCAAUGAGAAGGAUGCCUCCCCACUCUCCCAUGAGCACAUCAUUGAGAGAUUCCUCACAAUAAGAUCCUGGCUUGCCACUAACAAACAAGGCAGUGUCUGCAGAGUGCAUACUCCCUUGGAGCUGGCUGGAUCUUGUGAGCAGAAGGACCAGAUGGAGCUGUCACCAUGCUGUGCUACCAAGAGGCCAAACCAUCUGCCCCUAUCUUUACCUACUAAACAAAAAUGAUUUUCAAAAUAUUCAUUACUGUGAAAAGUGCAUCUCUUCAUUAGAAUAUGUAUCUUUAAGAAACAGAUACAAUAUGAAACAAAAUUAAAUAUGAUUGGGAAGGCAAAUAGAUAUAAAGCUGCUUAAAGACUG
ensembl:antisense Spag17os sperm associated antigen 17, opposite strand